UUUACAUAGGCAGCAUAUACUUCAGUUCAGAGCCGCAGACAGAAGCUUUAACUACGGUAAUGGGAUGUCUUGUACACAAUUGGCUGACUUGCAAGAGUUAUUCUAACAAGUGAAACACAUUUAGUCUUCGUUUUUCACUGGACUUUCACUUCGGUUACGCGCUACUAAAAAAAAAAAAAAAAAAAAAAAAAGCCACAGAAGUCCUGAUUGGUCACAGUAACGUUUUACUGCUACAUUGCACUCCACCUGAGGCUGAGAAGGGAGCACACAACUGCUUUCCAGAGACGUCUGGUGUUUGAGAUUAAAGAAACAAAGCUGACAAACAGGGACAAACAGCACAGAUGAAAAUAGUCUUCAAAACCACUGAACUGUGAAAACUGCUCUAGUGGACUAAAUACUUCUAGACAACAGGUUAUCAAGAAAAAAAAGACAGCAAUGUGACCAGAAAGCUUCCAUACGGCAGCUUCAAAGCUUCACUAAACACAACAAGAAGCAGCCCCCAGGCUGAGCCAGACGGUUAAACAGUUGUGCCAUAACAUUAGGAAGUGAUUAAGACUUCGCUUUGUAUCUACCUUGCAACAAAAAGCCACACCUCCUCUGUAAAUAGUAAAGUGGUGGCUAACCCUUUGGAACCAUUUACAUUCACGGUUUUGUGAAAAUAAGAAGAACCUGAACACCCCUUCAUCUAUUUAGAAUGGACUAAGACAUCUAUUAAGUUAUGAGGUCAGAUGUCUUGGAGAGGGAGAGGAAGAUGAAGUGCACAGAAAUUGUGAUGAAAUGCUCUAUUUCACACACUUGCCCUCUAGAAGGACUGGCAAAGGCAGUCACUUAAAUUAAGGACAGGUCAUCAGGCAGGAGACCUGAUCUGGUCUCAAGAUGGAAGACUUCAGCAGCCUGAAUCCCUGUGGCUUUUCCUAAUCCACCUCUGUCACUUCUUGUUAGGUUUAAGGUUUAUGGAAAUCAGUAUUCCGUGUAAGCUGUGCCAUUAUUGCCUAUAGUUAAGGAAAGUGCUCUAUAUUAUUUAUGACCCGCUAACUAAGUGGAAAUGACAGGCUUGAAGGUUUUUUUUUUUAACUCAAAUCCAAGUUUGUUAUAAAUCUUUAAAUUUUUCAUCAGUUUCCAUGAUAUGCAAAAUGUCACAUAGUUGCUUUAAUAUAUCAUGUCGCAGUAAACAGAAAUAGAACAAAAUAGACAAAAAUGGAAACAAAGCAAAAAAUACUCCAUUAUUACAGUAUGCAUCACCAUGAGCAAAAAAAUCCAAUAAUUAAGUGGAAGUUCUUUAUUGAAUGGCUUGAGGAACAAUGCAGCACAUAAAAUGUUUUAAAAAUAUCUUGGUUUAAACAUAUAUAAAAGUUAAAUUAAAAUAAAGAAUGUUUGAUGCUUCUUUAUUUUUAAUCAUUCCACCCUGUUUAUUUGUUAGAAGGAAAUAAUAUGACAACGUGCCUGUCAGGAAGAUAAUCAUACCCUGCAAACAUCAUAUGUUAAGGCCAUGCAAAACAACUGUAUACCACAGUGACUCAGCGUGUUAUAGAAAUGAUGUGGCUUUGACUUCUUUGACUUCUUUAGUAGUGGCGCUCUUAACUGACUAGCAUUUAUGAAAAGGUUGUGAGUCAACAGUUUCAGGUUGACUGGUAUCGUUGGCCAAAAAAAAACAAACCAAAAAAAUGUAUUUGUUUAAAAAUGUUGUUGGAGCUAUUGCUGUGUGGUCUUGGUUGCAUGGAGAAAGCCUGGUUACAACAUUCACAAACAUGCCAAGGACAAUAAAACAGUAUAACAUCUGAAAUCUACCGCAGCAAUAUUGAUGGACAUAACUUUUUAUAGUGUAAAUAGUUUUAAUAGUUUGUCUAAGUUGGCCCUCUAAAUAUUACGACUGAUGAAAAGAGAUGCUCAGUGCAUUGGUAAUAGAUUUUUUUGCACCUGACACCAAAACUGUCAGCUCAGACUUUAAAACAAGCCACACCAAAACCACACAAAAGGAGCAUUAAACCUUUAUAGAUUAAAAAAAGAUCACUCAUUUAUAAUUAUAUAACUAGGUUAUUCAUAAAAUAUGCAGAUAUAGAACACAUUAAAUGACGAUUAUACAUAUCUGGUUUGGUAGAAAUGCCUAUUCACUACCAAUGUAAAAAGGUCAGAUACUUUUUUGGAAAGGUAAUGGAAACUUCAUUUCUAAAUAUUGUUAUUUGUGGUGGGGUCUAGUCUAAAUAAGUGUAUUUGCUUUGCUCACUGAUUACCUUUCUUGCUACGUUACAGAUGACCAGGAUGAUCUGUUUCUGCAGGGUUUCCGUAUUAGAUCCAGGUUGCAUUCUUAAUAAUUAUUAGAUUGUAUUAUCAGAUAAAUAAAUUACAUAUCUGAUCCCUUGUAUCUCCGAGCACCAGUUAGGAUCUAUUCCCCUGGCCUUAGCAAACAUUGGAUGAUGUCUGAAUAACUUCAGAAGAUUGGCAUAACAAUCCAGCUGUAUGAAGUGCACUGGCUGUGUCACACCCAUCAUUCAGGGCUACCUCCCAAUGAGUAUUACCUGCAGUCUCUGCUCAGAUCACAACCUAUGUGACAUAAUAGGCUGGAGGGAGUCACCACAGUGCAAAAAAUGAAGGAACCAUGCAUACAUUUCAUUUUCAGCGUGGGAAGAUUAACAAUUUCAAUGAGAUGUUUCUCAUACACGGAUGUCCUUGUUUGUCCUCCCAACUUAUAAGACAGAAUUAAUUAUGCCAAUUAACUCUUCCGGAUCCUUUUAACAGAUGUCAAAUCUAUUUAUUUGUAUGUGAUGUUUGCUUCAGUGAACAUUCAACGCUGUCGGUGAGUUUAAGAUGGGAAAAAAACCAUCGACCGUUGAUUGUACCCUGCAGCCAGCCUUCAUCUGCCGCACGGCGAAUGCACAAGCAGUGGCUUUCAGCUUUUGAACCAAUGAGGGUGGACAGAUACUAACAAGAGCAUGGAGCUGUUUUUUUUUUUUCCGAAACAAGAUGCAGCAAAGGUCACAAUCAACAUUCAUUGCUGUCGGUGGGUUUAACUGUGUGGAAAAGCUCGCUCAACAAUGAAUGCAACUGUGGCCCAGAUUUUAGCAGCUAACGUCAUCAUGAAUGUAACCAGUGGAUGCGUUGAUUUUUAAUUACCACUCAUCUGCAUCUCUAAAGAGAAGAUACGCAGUUUGUUAGUAAUUAACUUGUGUGUCAUUGUCUGCUAUUCUUUUUCAUUGUGUUACUAAUUAGGAUUUUGUUUUUCUUGAGGAAAAAAUAAGCUUGAAUUUAGGAAAUCACUUGUACUAGUCAGCCUUAUUCAUGUACAUUUCCAAAGAUGAUAUAUGCAAGAUAUGUGUUUGUUAGUUACUAAUGAAUUACUAAAUUAGUUUACAUAAUAUUGCUUAGAAGACGAGCUUUUAAUAUGUAGCUAUCUAUAAUAUCUAGCAUAGUAUAUUUUCCCCUUUUUUGUUACAAAGAGACUAGAUGCUACUACAUUUUCUUCUGUAUUUUUCCCUGUUCUUGUUUCUGUAUUAUUGAGAAAUGCUUGAGAUUUUGCACAAAAUAUAUGUAUAUUUACACACAUAUACACAUACACACCCACAUACUAUGCAUCAUGAAUGCCUUCCAUUUCAGGGCACCAUUUUCAAGAUGGUACUGUUUGGCACCGUUAAAUAUAUAUAUAUAUAUAUUUUAGCUCAAAGAGCCAGCUGCCCAACGUUUCGAUAUGUUGUACAUGUCUUUAUAUAUAUCCUUAUUAAUAAAAAAAACUAUCAUAACAGGAAUUAAGUGAUGCCUGAAUUUUGACAUUAAUAAUAAAUACUGUAGCACUUGACUUUUUACCUAGAGUUGUAUUUGUUUCAGUGAAUGCUUCAUGGAAGGCUGUUUUGCUAAAUAAAUGUAUCUGAGCAGGA